UACAGAGGUCUCAAGCGUUGUUCGGGUUCAUUGGGCGUAAAGGGUGCGUAGGUGGCAUGGUAAGUCGGAUGUGAAAUCCCGGGGCUCAACCCCGGAACUGCAUUCGAUACUGCUGCGGCUAGAGUACGUGGAGAGGAGAUUGGAAUUUACGGUGUAGCAGUGAAAUGCGUAGAUAUCGUGAAGGAAGACCAGUGGCGAAGGCGGAUCUCUGGACAGUUACUGACACUGAGGCAGCGAAGGC
rnacentral:rRNA from 1 species